UACGUAGGGGGCGAGCGUUGUCCGGAUUUAUUGGGCGUAAAGCGUGCGCAGGCGGUUUUGUAAGCCAGAUGUGAAAUCCCUCGGCUCAACUGAGGAACUGCCUUUGAAACUGUUCGGCUUGAGGCCGGGAGGGGGUAGCGGAAUUCCCAGUGUAGCGGUGAAAUGCGUAGAUAUUGGGAGGAACACCAGUGGCGAAGGCGGCUACCUGGACCGGUUCUGACGCUGAGGCGCGAAAGCGUGGGUAGCAAACAGG
rnacentral:rRNA from 1 species